UACGUAGGGGGCAAGCGUUGUCCGGAUUUAUUGGGCGUAAAGAGCGUGUAGGCGGCUAGGUAGGUCCGUUGUGAAAACUCGAGGCUCAACCUCGAGACGUCGAUGGAAACCAUCUAGCUAGAGUCCGGAAGAGGAGAGUGGAAUUCCUGGUGUAGCGGUGAAAUGCGCAGAUAUCAGGAAGAACACCCGUGGCGAAGGCAGCUCGCUGGGACGGUACUGACGCUGAGACGCGAAAGCGUGGGGAGCAAACAGG
rnacentral:rRNA from 1 species